rnacentral:rRNA from 1 species
GAAGGGGGGACGGAGAAGGCUAUGUUGGCCGGGCGACGGUUGUCCCGGUUUAAGCGUGUAGGCUGGUUUUCCAGGCAAAUCCGGAAAACUAAGGCUGAGGCGUGAUGACGAGGCACUACGGUGCUGAAGCAACAAAUGCCCUGCUUCCAGGAAAAGCCUCUAAGCAUCAGGUAACAUCAAAUCGUACCCCAAACCGACACAGGUGGUCAGGUAGAGAAUACCAAGGCGCUUGAGAGAACUCGGGUGAAGGAACUAGGCAAAAUGGUGCCGUAACUUCGGGAGAAGGCACGCUGAUAUGUAGGUGAAGUCCCUCGCGGAUGGAGCUGAAAUCAGUCGAAGAUACCAGCUGGCUGCAACUGUUUAUUAAAAACACAGCACUGUGCAAACACGAAAGUGGACGUAUACGGUGUGACGCCUGCCCGGUGCCGGAAGGUUAAUUGAUGGGGUCAGCGCAAGCGAAGCUCUUGAUCGAAGCCCCGGUAAACGGCGGCCGUAACUAUAACGGUCCUAAGGUAGCGAAAUUCCUUGUCGGGUAAGUUCCGACCUGCACGAAUGGCGUAAUGAUGGCCAGGCUGUCUCCACCCGAGACUCAGUGAAAUUGAACUCGCUGUGAAGAUGCAGUGUACCCGCGGCAAGACGGAAAGACCCCGUGAACCUUUACUAUAGCUUGACACUGAACAUUGAGCCUUGAUGUGUAGGAUAGGUGGGAGGCUUUGAAGUGUGGACGCCAGUCUGCAUGGAGCCGACCUUGAAAUACCACCCUUUAAUGUUUGAUGUUCUAACGUUGACCCGUAAUCCGGGUUGCGGACAGUGUCUGGUGGGUAGUUUGACUGGGGCGGUCUCCUCCUAAAGAGUAACGGAGGAGCACGAAGGUUGGCUAAUCCUGGUCGGACAUCAGGAGGUUAGUGCAAUGGCAUAAGCCAGCUUGACUGCGAGCGUGACGGCGCGAGCAGGUGCGAAAGCAGGUCAUAGUGAUCCGGUGGUUCUGAAUGGAAGGGCCAUCGCUCAACGGAUAAAAGGUACUCCGGGGAUAACAGGCUGAUACCGCCCAAGAGUUCAUAUCGACGGCGGUGUUUGGCACCUCGAUGUCGGCUCAUCACAUCCUGGGGCUGAAGUAGGUCCCAAGGGUAUGGCUGUUCGCCAUUUAAAGUGGUACGCGAGCUGGGUUUAGAACGUCGUGAGACAGUUCGGUCCCUAUCUGCCGUGGGCGCUGGAGAACUGAGGGGGGCUGCUCCUAGUACGAGAGGACCGGAGUGGACGCAUCACUGGUGUUCGGGUUGUCAUGCCAAUGGCACUGCCCGGUAGCUAAAUGCGGAAGAGAUAAGUGCUGAAAGCAUCUAAGCACGAAACUUGCCCCGAGAUGAGUUCUCCCUGACUCCUUGAGAGUCCUGAAGGAACGUUGAAGACGACGACGUUGAUAGGCCGG